GACAAGGUGAUUGACAGCUGUGUUCACCUAUUGGAGAGUAGGGCUCUCUAUUUAAAGGUUGAUUGGCUGAAGCCGUGUAUGUGUCACGUCUGAUUUCCCUCCCCUUGUGUCUGUUGACGGUCGUUACAGUGUGUGUUGGCUCCGAUGCUGGUGCCUGUUAGCACUGUUCCAUGGAUUUUAAAAGUGCUAGUCUCUCCGGUUGACUCCCUGUAUGCCAGGGCACUGGUGGCUGCCAUGACAGCUGUAUGCCAGUGUCCGUAAGGUGUCAUGCCUGGCAUAAGAAGCAGUAAGUGUGCAACCUGCAACUUUAAGUGAGAGUAGUAAUGUGUAGUCAUAAUGUUUACAUCUGUAUUCGCUUUAGGAUUCUCCCUCUCGUUCCGGGCUGUGAUUACCUCUUCGCGCUGUUUUUAGCGCUGCUAUUCAGCUUGCAGUGCGCACGUGUUGACAUCAUUAAAGGGUGCUGCUGGUGUCCGGUCAACCUUUUAAUAUCGCACAAUAUAGUGCUCAAAUCCAUAUGUGUUGGGGACAUGAACGUUUUUGGUUUAAAGAUUAAAUGAUGCUCUGAAUGAGCUCUGUGAUUCCCCUAUCCAACCUCUUUAAUUAUUUUGUUUCUUUUGUUUAUUUUUGUAUUUAUACUUUGUUUGCUGCACGUGACUCCUCAUCGUUGUAACGUGCCCGGGUGUAUGUGUGGCCUAUUGAACCUAGUAACACACUGUGACAGAGGGGAGUGGAGCUGGGGUCCCACGGGUGACAGGAAUUUCUACGGUGGUGGUGCUUCUCAUCGUGUGCUGUGUAACAUCUUGUGUGUUUCGUAGUGUGAUUUGAGUGCACUUUGGUGUGUGUGGUUGUGUGGAAGUGUGCUCUGCUCAAACUGAAUUCUGUCCUCUGCCGUUGGGAGCCUCAGCCCUGCUGGUAACAUUCUCUUUUAUUUGUUUUGAUUUAACCUCUUUGUUAUAAUUAAAAUUGUGUCUUUUCCCUUUAAGGGGAAAGAAUGAGUACUUGGUGUGUCUUUUUAAUCUUGUGUUUUUAAAUAUUUGUAUUAAUAAAAUUAUGUAACAUUUUGCAUUAUACCCACGUCUCCUGCCUACUUUAUUAUAAGGGACCGAACCUGUGUCCUUCACCCAUCAUUUUGGGGGUAAAUUGAGAUUUCCCCGGGUGCAAUUCCCGGGGUGGCGUAGUCGGAGUUCUUAAAAUCUUAGGCUCAUGUUCUCUCUCUAGCACCGCUCUGCUACAAUCUGGCGUAGUCGGCAGGAUCCCUUUGUAGUGCAGAGGCGUGGGUAUUUUUUUUUGUCAUGCUUGCAUUUGUUCUGUUUUAUGUGUACAUUGUAGUGUUUGGAAACCAGGCACCAGAAAUCUCCCCUUAUGGUGGGUCUGCACGUCGAGGCGAGUAUGUAUUUUUAAUUUACGUCUACGGUUGGGUCAUUCCUAACUAUGCCAGUCAUGUGAAUUAAUGAUUUGGUAGUUUAAGGUAGACAAUGAAUUAUUUUUGGAACGAGAGGGAGGAUCUGCUAACAUGGGUUAAGUCGAGAGCUAACUGGGUUCUAUGGGUGGGUUUUGGGAUGUCUGACGUGGCACAUCAUAGACGCCUUGAAAUCAGGUGUUGUCAUUUGUUCUGCAUGAGUGAUGCAGUUUUGCUUUUGCCAUUAGGGUUCGGUCUUCCAGCCGGGUUGUUGGACCUCCUGCUGUAGGAAAGGUAGACCCCGGUACUGUCAGUUUACUGGAAGUCUGUGUUGAUAUGACCGAAGUAAUACUAUGCUCCUAAUUCCUUGGUAGAUGGGGUCCCUCAGAGUCUGGGGUGGAACCAUCCAGUUAGAAUUAAAGUCCAGGAGAUGUUCCUGUGGCUAGUUACCUUGGGAUGGGUGGGAAAACGUUUUUAUUAUUCUCUUUGAGAGUGUAAGGAGGAUAAGGUAAAGUUAGGGCAUUGCUGGAGCAGCAUUUGCCUGUGACUGGUAUCUCUGAUGGGGGCAGGAUGUAUUGUAACCCUCAUGUCAUUUUCAGGUGGGGUCCCUCAGUACCUGGGGUGGAACCAUCUGGUUACGCUUAUAGUCCAGGAGAUGUUCCUGUGGCUAGUUAUCUUUGGAUAGGUGGGAAACGUUUUUAUUCUCUUUCCGAAUGUAAGGAGGAUAAGCUAAAGGUAGGGCAUUGCUGCAGUAGUAUUUGCCUGUGACUUCAAUUUUUAUGCUGGGGUUGGGUACUAAUCGGUCCCAUGUUAUUUGUUGUUAGAUGGGGUCCCUCAGUAUCUGGGGUGAAACCAUCUGAUGAGUUUUAUAGGUAGGAGAGGUACCCCCCCCCACAUAGGUCAGUCAUUUUCAGAUGGGGUCCCUCAGCAUCUGGGGUGAAACCAUCUGGUUCAAUCCUUAGCACAUGAGAAGCUUGUGUGUUGUCACUAGGAAGGGUACUGCAGGUCGGUACUCUAACCUACACCAUCUCCUAUGAUUAGCAGGCACUGGUUCCGUGUCUAGCAUAGUGGGUAGUACAGUUGAUGCCCUGUUCUGUCCUUGGGACUAAAUUCUGAGGUAGGUUUUUAAUUGCAUCACGUCGGGACGACGUCGCAGAAACUUGGGGUGGAAUGUAGUGGGACAAGGUGAUUGACAGCUGUGUUCACCUAUUGGAGAGUAGGGCUCUCUAUUUAAAGGCUGAUUGGCUGAAGCCGUGUAUGUGUCACGUCUGAUUUCCCUCCCCUUGUGUCUGUUGACGGUCGUUACAGGUAAGCGUCCUAGCUCUUAGCGUAUGGCUAUUUUAAUGUGUUGUGUGUGAUUUUAAAACUAAAUGUGAAUUCUAGUGUGUGUUGGCUCCGAUGCUGGUGCCUGUUAGCACUGUUCCAUGGAUUUUAAAAGUGCUAGUCUCUCCGGUUGACUCCCUGUAUGCCAGGGCACUGGUGGCUGCCAUGACAGCUGUAUGCCAGUGUCCGUAAGGUGUCAUGCCUGGCGUAAGAAGCGGUAAGUGUGCAACCUGCAACUUUAAGUGAGAGUAGUAAUGUGUAGUCAUAAUGUUUACAUCUGUAUUCGCUUUAGGAUUCUCCCUCUCGUUCCGGGCUGUGAUUACCUCUUCGCGCUGUUUUUAGCGCUGCUAUUCAGAUUGCAGUGCGCACGUGUUGACAUCAUUAAAGGGUGCUGCUGGUGUCCGGUCAACCUUUUAAUAUCGCACAAUAUAGUGCUCAAAUCCAUAUGUGUUGGCGACAUGAAAGUUUUUUGGUUUAAAGAUUAAAUGAUGCUCUGAAUGAGCUCUGUGGUUCCCCUAUCCAACCUCUUUAAUUAUUUUGUUUCUUUUGUUUAUUUUUGUAUUUAUACUUUGUUUGCUGCACGUGACUCCUCAUCGUUGUAACGUGCCCGGGUGUAUGUGUGGCCUAUUGAACCUAGUAACACACUGUGACAGAGGGGAGUGGAGCUGGGGUCCCACGGGUGACAGGAAUUUCUACGGUGGUGGUGCUUCUCAUCGUGUGCUGUGUAACAUCUUGUGUGUUUCGUAGUGUGAUUUGAGUGCACUUUGGUGUGUGUGGUUGUGUGGAAGUGUGCUCUGCUCAAACUGAAUUCUGUCCUCUGCCGUUGGGAGCCUCAGCCCUGCUGGUAACAUUCUCUUUUAUUUGUUUUGAUUUAACCUCUUUGUUAUAAUUAAAAUUGUGUCUUUUCCCUUUAAGGGGAAAGAAUGAGUACUUGGUGUGUCUUUUUAAUCUUGUGUUUUUAAAUAUUUGUAUUAAUAAAAUUAUGUAACAUUUUGCAUUAUA